AUUUUAUAUAGUAUGACGGCGUGCCUUUUGCAUAAUGAGCCUACGAGUUAGUCUUUGUUGGCAAGGUUAAUCCUUUUGAAAGGAGUAGCCGAAGCGAAAGCGAGUCUUAAUAGGGCGAAUUAGUCAGCAGAGCUAGACGCGAAACUUGGUGAUCUACCCAUGGCCAGGGUGAAGCUUUGGUAAAGCAAAGUGGAGGCCCGAACCAGUAGCAGUUGAAAAUGCUUUGGAUGAGCUGUGGGUAGGGGUGAAAGGCCAAUCAAACCAAGAGAUAGCUCGUACACUCCGAAAUGCUUUUAGGAGCAGCGUUAGUUAAUAGACUAAUAGAGGUAGAGCUACCGAUAGGAGUGGGGGGAGUCAAAUCCUACCCUCUCCAGACGAACUCCGAAUGCUAUUAGUUGUUUACUAGCAGUGAGGGCUAGGGUGCUAAGGUCCUAGUCCGAAAGGGAAACAACCCAGACCAUCUGCUAAGGUCCCCAAAUAUAGACUAAGUUGAACUAAGGAGGUUCAGCUACUUAGACAGCCAGGAUGUUGGCUUGGAAGCAGCCAUUCAUUUAAAGAGUGCGUAACAGCUCACUGGUCAAGUGGCAGAGCGCCGAUGAUAAACGGGCAUUAAGUCUAUUACCGAAGCAAUGGCUUAGCUACUUUGUAGCUAGGGGUAGGAGUGCAUUCUAAUAGAGUCGAAGCUAUGUGGUGACGCAUAGUGCAUUUAUUAGAAAAGAAAAUGUAGGCAUAAGUAACGAUAAUGACGGCGAGAAACCGUCACACCGAAAGACUAAGGUUUCCACGGCCAUGCUAGUCAUCCGUGGGUUAGUCGGGACCUAAGUUGAAGCCAAAUGGCGUAGACGAUGGAAAAUCGGUUAAUAUUCCGAUACUAACUUGUUAUAGAGAAGGGGGGACAGAGCAGUGAAAGGUCUGCCUGGUGACGGAUUACCAGGUUGAAGCCAGUAGGUAUAGGCUUGAGUAGCAAAUCUCUCAAGCCUGCCGAAGGUGAUAGUACUACAAUCUUUCGGGAGCGUAGAUAAUGACCCUAACCAUACUCUCAAGAAAAGCCUCUAAUCGUUUAAAUAACAAGCUACUCGUACCGCAAACCGACACAGGUAGUCGAGGAGAGAAUCCUAAGGUGUUCGAGUGAGUCGUGGCUAAGGAACUAGGCAAAAUAGCCCUGUAACUUCGGGAGAAAGGGUGCCUCUCUAGUGCUUGCACUAGAAGGCCGCAGUGAAUAGGCCCAGGCGACUGUUUAACAAAAACACAGGACUUUGCGAAAUCGAAAGAUGAUGUAUAAGGUCUGACACCUGCCCGGUGCUGGAAGGUUAAGGGGAGAAGUUAGUUUUCGAACAAAGCUUUGAACUGAAGCCCCAGUAAACGGCGGCCGUAACUAUGACGGUCCUAAGGUAGCGAAAUUCCUUGUCGGGUAAGUUCCGACCUGCACGAAUGGUGUAACGAUCUGGGCACUGUCUCGGCCACGAGCUUGGUGAAAUUGUAGUAGCGGUGAAGAUGCCGCUUACCCGCAACGGGACGGAAAGACCCCGUGAACCUUUACUGCAACUUCAUAUUGGUAUUGGAUAAUUGAUGUGUAGGAUAGGUGGGAGACUUUGAAACGGUGCCGCUAGGUGUCGUGGAGUCGUCCUUGAAAUACCACCCUUUAUUUAUUUGAUAUCUAACCCCUGAAAUAGGGAGACAUUGUGUGGUGGGUAGUUUGACUGGGGUGGUCGCCUCCUAAAAAGUAACGGAGGCUCUCAAAGGUACCUUCAGCGCGUUUGGUAAUCGCGUAUAGAGUGUAAUAGCAGAAGGGUGCUUGACUGUGAGACUUACAAGUCGAGCAGGAU
rnacentral:rRNA from 1 species